GACGAACGCUGGCGGCGUGCUUAACACAUGCAAGUCGAACGGUGAAAGAAGAGCUUGCUCUUCUGGAUCAGUGGCGAACGGGUGAGUAACACGUGAGUAACCUGCCCCAGACUCUGGAAUAAGCGCUGGAAACGGCGGCUAAUACCGGAUACGAGACACAGCUGCAUGGCUACUGUCUGGAAAGUUUUUCGGUCUGGGAUGGACUCGCGGCCUAUCAGCUUGUUGGUGAGGUAACGGCUCACCAAGGCAACGACGGGUAGCCGGCCUGAGAGGGCGACCGGCCACACUGGGACUGAGAUACGGCCCAGACUCCUACGGGAGGCAGCAGUGGGGAAUAUUGCACAAUGGGCGAAAGCCUGAUGCAGCGACGCCGCGUGAGGGAUGACGGCCUUCGGGUUGUAAACCUCUUUCAGCAGGGAAGAAGCGAAAGUGACGGUACCUGCAGAAGAAGCACCGGCUAACUACGUG
rnacentral:rRNA from 1 species